rnacentral:rRNA from 1 species
UACGUAGGGGGCAAGCAUUGUCCGGAAUCAUUGGGCGUAAAGCGCGUGUAGGCGGUUCGGUAAGUCUGCUGUGAAAGUCCAGGGCUCAACCCUGGGAUGCCGGUGGAUACUGUCGGACUAGAGUACGGAAGAGGCGAGUGGAAUUCCCGGUGUAGCGGUGAAAUGCGCAGAUAUCAGGAGGAACACCGAUGGCGAAGGCAGCUCGCUGGGACGGUACUGACGCUGAGACGCGAAAGCGUGGGGAGCGAACAGG